rnacentral:lncRNA from 1 species
AGUAGGCGACUGACUGCCCAAGAGACCCAGGGCUCCGCAAGGAGACGGCGCAGGUGUCGGGGCUCCCCGCAGGCCGGGAAAAAGUGUCCGAACGCCUCGUGGACUGCAGCGGGGGAAAUGUCCCUUAAAAGUGCGACGAAGUGGGGAAGAAGGUGUAAUUACUAUUAUCAGCAUCUAGAAAGCAUCAUGAAUUUGCUGGAGUACUUCCUAGCACUGACCUCCUUCAUUCUGCGUUGUUCUUACUGGAUCUUUCCAUCAGCCAACAAUAUGGAAGUACCAAUACAAGGUCAAAUCAUUCCUGGAUUCAUCUGGAGUUGCUUAAAAGUUAAAUCAUUGGAAUUUUUGAUGAUACCUUUUCUAUAUGGAUUACAAUUUGAUCGCUGGGAAUUCUCCACCUUAAAGAAGGUGUGAAUCAUGGCAAUACAGUGAAAGACAGUGAUUUACUGCUUUUGAGGGCGUGCAUGUAUAUGAUUAACGGAUGGAAGUGCAGGACUCCAAGAUUUACUUCCUUCCCUUUCCAGCAGAAUUACCUGAGACGAGUAAAAUCUACUGGUGGAGUCACUCCAUUAUUCUUAUCUGUGGAGAUCUAGAUCUUGAUUUGAAAGUUUCUGAGAAAAUCUUCAGCUCAGACUUGAGGGUCAACUUUACCAGCUGAAGUGACUACAUCCUGCCUGCUUUCAGCUCCAGUGGAAAAUGCAUUAAUCCCAGAGUCUCCGUGAGGUUUCCUGUUUGAUGACAUAAUCAGAAAAUCCUCCUCACAUUGCCCUUGGGGUUGCUGUCUGGAUGUUAUGUUGUCUUGGUGGGUGUAACUCAGCCAUCAAAAAAAUCAGCACAGGCCAUAAACUCAGGACCUGAAAUGCAUUAAUAUAAUGUUAAACGAAAUAACGCUGUGGGUAUGUCUGCAGCACUGGUAGGGAAUUUCAUUAAACUGCAGAUUCUCCCUGGCAUCAGAUGCAUUGGCUGGUGACUCCGGUACAUAUGGCAUGAGCUGCUGCAAUGCCACUAGCAGGAGGUAUUUGAACUGCUCCAGUGUAAGCUGUUAGACUACAUCUCGUGGAAAAAUAACACACACCCUUGACUACCAGAGUUUGGUAGUGUUGAUUUAAGUAGUUCUUCCCUUCCAUUCCCCUCUGGGGCAGCCUGUUUACCUAAUAACGUUUUGCCUUUGGUGUUGAUCACAGGAAGCUGCAAAAAAGAAAACUAGUGGGAAGAGUCAGAAAUAGAAGAUGAGGAUACACUUUAAAAUGAGAAAAGCAAAAGAUGGCAUCUGACAUGUAGAGUGGGUUUUAAAAGUUUUAAAGAUAAGAUAUUGUGAGGCAGAAACUUCAGUAGCUGUGAAUAUAGUUGGAAAGAAGAAACCUUGAUAUAAAAGUAGAACCAAGAGUAGGAUAUUUAGAUACCAAAGGGCACGUACAAUUUUACAAGUUUAGAAGAUAUUGGCAUAGGAAAUUGAGCAUAUGCUUAAAUAUGGAUUUCCUUUGCUAUUUGGAGAAUUUUUUAUAUUUUUUUUAUUGUUUUGGUAGGCUGCCAUAACCCUCCAUUUGGUUGUCUUGGAUGGAAUAUCUCUUGCCUUGGAUCUUGGAAAUCCAAGCUUGAUUGGCACUUGGUCAGGAUGAGAACAAGGAAUGGGCCUCUUAGGAUGUUUUACAAGUUCUAGAAGUUACCUCCAUGAUCCUCCCUCCUGUUGUUGUACCAAACUCUUUCUUGCAUGUGUCUUCCUGGGGGUGGAGAGAGGUGGUGAGGGAGCUGGUGGGAGAAGCAGGCAAGAUACAGCUUGAUAGAGCUUCACUGGAGAGAAGUUAAAGAGGAAGGAGAGGUCUAAGCUCUAGCCAGUUGAAAGCCUGGGGUGAUGUCACCAUUCCUACCUCCUUAUAUCAGAAAUAUUCUUGGGUUUUCCAUAAUGUAUUCCAAGCAGCGGGACACCUUUCACAGAUGCUUCUCCUGUGUUAGGGGAAUCUGGACUAAUAUAACACUAGGAGGGAGAAAAUUGUGUUUCUUUAUCGCUACUGUGAACGUUGUUGUUUUUUAAAAUUUACAGCUGACUACUGAAUAAACUCUAAAACUUGGAGUUCUGGAUUUCAGGUUCUGUGAUCUGUUUUCUUGUAUAGCUCUGUGAUGGUUACGUGACCAAGCUGUGAGCAUUUACUCUCAAAACAGCUUCAUUUAAACCAUCCUAUGCCUUGUACUAGAAUAAUGCUACCCCAGAGCGGGAAGGGCUCUGAAAGAUCACAUCUAAUGGGUGAACCUCUUUACCCAGGUGUGUUGUGACAAGAGUGGGGGAGACUAUGAUCCUUUUUAUUCUAGAUAUGUAGCGCAGGUUGGUUGUGUUAGUGAAUGUACCAUCUCACACAUCAUAUUGAGCUGAAU